rnacentral:antisense_RNA from 1 species
GGAGAAUCUAAGACUUCUGAAGAGUUUCUUGCUUCUUUCCUGUGGGGCAGUGACUCCACUUCCCAGCAGUAAUGGAAUAUCCUGAAUUAGCUACAUUAAUGUUAGAACCAUUUGGACCUCACCCAGGACUUCAACUACAUUAUGCUAAAGUUACAGAACCCAAAUUUGGCAACUGUCUGCAUCUGAACAACAGAAGUUUCAACAUUCUGCCAACAGAGUAACUCCUGGACGAUUGGCACAGAAGGCACAAGGCAAAUACCUAUCUCUGUACACCCUGUGCUACUGUGUCAUGUGCUGCUCCAGGCAACUCCAAUGGAUUGGCCACCCUGGCCAAUGUGUUCUAGUAUGUUAGGUUUAUGUUCCCCUGCUUUCUACAAUCCUGUUCAAAGAGUUGCUGACUUAACCACAGAGAGGAUUCCAGAACAUGAGACACAGAAUAAACUUGAGCAAUCAUAGUCCAUCCACUUCAUUUUCUCAUCAAAAACCAAAGGUCCAGUGAAGCUCUGGAACUCAACGCUGUAAAGGAGCGAAGGAGCUUCUAUACAGAGCCUGGAUGCCUGUCUCCUUAUCCUACUUCAGUGGACUUGACUGCAAUCCGGACUAUGCUGUUUUCUAAGCAUUUAAAAUAAAAUAAAAAGUGUAA